AACGAACGCUGGCGGCAUGCCUAACACAUGCAAGUCGAACGAGACCUUCGGGUCUAGUGGCGCACGGGUGCGUAACGCGUGGGAACCUGCCCUUAGGUUCGGAAUAACUCCCCGAAAGGGGUGCUAAUACCGGAUAAUGUCUUCGGACCAAAGAUUUAUCGCCUUUGGAUGGGCCCGCGUUGGAUUAGCUAGUUGGUAGGGUAAAAGCCUACCAAGGCGACGAUCCAUAGCUGGUCUGAGAGGAUGAUCAGCCACACUGGGACUGAGACACGGCCCAGACACGGAAGGGGGGCAGCGGCCGGGACCCUUGGGGAAGGAGCGGGAGGGGAAUAUUGAAAAAUGGCGUAGGUGAAGAACGACAAAGGCCGGGAGAGAGAUGUUGGCGUUAGAGAAAAAAAGCAGUUUAACCCGAGGUUAUAAUGAAGGUACCGAAAGAAUAAGCCCCGGCUAACCCCGUG
rnacentral:rRNA from 1 species